CCAUCAAUCAUAGACCAUAUCUCAUGAAAGUUAUCCACUUUCAACUGAUUUGUGAGGAAUAGAUGUACUUUCUUGGCAGCCCAUGUGUACUCUAGUUCAGCUAGCUUGAUAAACACACCUAGUGAUGAUUUCUCCAAUUCAUCCCAGACAUCAAUACCUAAUCCUUCUAUGAUUUGACCAAUCUUGGACAGAUAACAAUUGUGGUUCAUGCUUCUAUGUUGCAAAGGUGAUUUUCCUUCUGCAUAUAGACGAGGAGGAUAUUUGAAGACAUUACUCGAAGACGCCAUUCCUGAA
rnacentral:lncRNA from 1 species